UACGUAGGGGGCAAGCGUUGUCCGGAUUUAUUGGGCGUAAAGAGCGUGUAGGCGGCUUUACAGGUCCGUUGUGAAAACUCGAGGCUCAACCUCGAGACGCCGGUGGAAACCGUAAAGCUAGAGUCCGGAAGAGGAGAGUGGAAUUCCUGGUGUAGCGGUGAAAUGCGCAGAUAUCAGGAGGAACACCCGUGGCGAAAGCGGCUCUCUGGGACGGUACUGACGCUGAGACGCGAAAGCGUAGGGAGCAAACAGG
rnacentral:rRNA from 1 species